CAGAGCAACACUCAUUGAAAUGAUCACCUUGGGUGAGCUUGUAAUACCUCAAUGGCUGGAUGAUGAUCUAAUAGAUCUUCUGGAAAAGCUCCUUACAAAGAAUCCGAGGCGACGGGGAAGCCUUGAAGACGAAUUGGACAACGGAUGGCUGGAAAGGGAGAGAGUCCAGUAAGUGGCACAUGUGGUAAAUUGUACUUGUGUAAUAUCACUAAGAAAUACUUUUAUACCAAUUAAACCUAUGGGGGGGGGGGAAAUAGAAAAAAAAAAUUGGGCAAAGUUUGCAGCUUGGCUAAUAACCAAUAAACAUUGAUCAUUUGUUAGUCAAGUCUUAGGAAACACAUAUCUUAUAGAGUAAUCUUUCUGGAGUUAAUCAUUUUUUCUUUGUUUAAAAGAUUCUAUUCGGCAGAGAUGAUAUGCGGCCUGCAGUUCCUGCACAGCAAGGGGAUCAUCCAUCGAGACAUCAAACCCCUCAACAUCUUGUUGGAUCACAAAGGCCAUGCUAGGAUUUCAGACUUCGGCCUGGCUGUACAAAAUGUCUUUAAAGAUGAUACCAUCACUGGCGAGCACGGAACUCUGGCAUACAUGGCCCCGGAGGUAAGACAUGGAAUUACAGUAUAUUUACAGUAGAAACCAAGAAAAAAUAAAUAGUAAAGGAGAAUAUGGCAAGGACAAAAGGACUGUAUCUAGCUCACCUCUAUCAAAGACAUAUAUACCUACAUGUUAUACAAUUAAGCACUUGAACUUUAUUUAGAUUGAUUUGUUUUUGUAUCUGUGAAUAUGC